CCUACGGGUGGCAGCAGUGGGGAAUAUUGCACAAUUGGCGAAAGCCUGAUGCAGCAACGCCGCGUGAAGGAAGAAGGUUUUCGGAUUGUAAACUUCUGUUCUUAGUGAAGAAUAAUGACGGUAACUAAGGAGCAAGCCACGGCUAACUACGUGCCAGCAGCCGCGGGAAUACGGAGGUGGCAAGCGUUGUCCGGAAUUACUGGGUGUAAAGGGAGCGUAGGCGGGAAGCCAAGUCAGCGGUGAAAACUACGGGCUUAACCUGUAGACUGCAGUUGAAACUGGCAUUCUUGAGUGAAGUCGAGGUAGGCGGAAUUCCGGGUGUAGCGGUGAAAUGCGUAGAUAUUCGGAGGAACACCGGUGGCGAAGGCGGUCAACUGGGCUUUAACUGACGCUGAGGCUCGAAAGUGUGGGGAGCAAACAGGAUUAGAUACCCUAGUAGUC
rnacentral:rRNA from 1 species